UGUUAAAAAUUUCAUUCAUUUCUAUUGUUAAAACAUAAUGUAGUUGGCAAAAUAAGUAGACAAUUAUUACUUCAUGCUGAUAUAUAAGGAUCGAUUUUUAACAAUAGAAAUUGAUGAAAUUUUUAACA
rfam:Gossypium raimondii Chr11_contig_15, whole genome shotgun sequence.